rnacentral:rRNA from 1 species
UUAGUCUUGUAAUUCAAGACUAGAAUGAAAGAAUAAAUCAAAAAGGCACUUUUUUAAAUAUAACCCCAAACUUUACCUCCCAGUAAAAAGGCUGAGAUAGAAAUAAUAGACAAGAAGACCCUAUAAAGCUUCAUAUUUAUAAAGAAUUACAAACUCUAACUAAAUAUUCCGCUGGGGCGGCAGAAUCCUUAACAUUUUCUAAUUUCCAAGAUACAAAAAUUUCCAUACCCAAAACUUUUGAAAAACAAACAAGUUACUUUAGGGAUAACAGCAUAAUUUAUUUCGAAAGCUCUUAUUAACAAAUAAGUUUAUGACCUCGAUGUUGGAUUAAAGACUCUCUUUUACGCACAAGUAAAAAAAGUAGU